rnacentral:lncRNA from 1 species
GUCAGCUGCUCAGGCGUCAUGGGAAGACUAGGAACUGUACAGAGCUCUUCCGAGGCUGGUCCUUUGGAGCUUUAAGAAGGAGAAAGGAUGUAAGGGUGUGUGAUAUCCAGCAUACUGCUGCCAGCUGACAGGCACCUCCACUCUACAACCUUGCUGGCAUCUUCUGACAUCAUCUGACAAAUCUCAGAGGGACAUUCUGA